GCCGGACACUUUUCAGUAACCGUGAUCAAUUUUAAUUUCUUAUUUUCACUGUUUUUCACCAAUAUUAGGAGCUAUUUACGGUGGGCGACAAAUUUUAGGAACAUCUUAAUCAAUAUAAAAUUGAUAUCGGCGUGGAUUUUCGUGUUUAAAUACCUAAAUACAGUGUCAUGGAGAUAGUCGUUUUAUGGGCUGCUGCGGAAGAAAAUGUCUUCAGAAUCUUGAGCAAAUCGAUUGCAGGAUACUUCGAGAGAAAAGCCAGUAUAUACUUCUCACAGAGAGUAGCUACAUUGGUAAUUUUAGAUUAUCAAAAGAUGCAUUUCGGACUUUGUAUCAUGACUUAGGACCAUAUCUGAAGGUCCAAUGCUCUACAACUGUGCAAUCGACUUUAAGUGACAAAUGCCCUCAAUCAGCCUGCAAUCGUGAGAUAAUAUAUCAAGUUUCCUCGGACAAAAACUGAGCAUAUAGAAGUCUCCAGAGGUUUUAAUGACAAAUUUGGAUUUCUUGGAGUACUUUGAUGCAUCCAUGGCACACACAUUGCCAUUAUCCAACCUCACAAGUGGGAAGAGGCCUUCUUCAAUAGCAAGUAUUACCAUUCAUUGCAUGUUAUGUUGGUUUGUGAUGGAGAUAUGUGCAUUUGUGAUGCAUCCAAUGGGAGUGUUAGUGCUAGACUGCUAGCCAAGAUAACCAUAUUUGGAACAACAGCACUUUGAGAAGGGAAAAGGAACAUCUCCUUAAUUUUAAUAUGUUUAAGUUCAUUAAGUGGACUUGUGUGGUCCUUGAAAUGUAAAUUAUGAAGUCAGUGUGGUGUAAUCAAAAGUGGCAGAUUUGUUAUUCAAUAAUACAACAUCUAAACAAACCUUUCUUUAUUGACAUCAAAUAAACUAUUUUCAUUAUGCAUAUUUAUUUAUUUUGUGUUAUUACAUAAUUUGUUUCAUUGCACCCCUCUCAUUAACAAACUUAUCUCUCAAGUAGAUACAUUUUUUUCUAAUCUUGU